CGCAAGAACUCAGCGCGCUGGAAAGGCCGCUGUCCGACGACGAGGAGGGAAUCGCGACCAGGUCGCUGUCGAUAAGGUUGAACUGAUUGUCCAGUUUGAAUAUAGAGUCCAGAAAGUCGUCCGGAUUGGUCGGCCAUUCUUCUGUCUGGAAGAAAAUCAAUCGAGAUUGCUGUUUAACGUGAGGUCAUUCCAAUUGAUUAUUCACCUUCGCUUUCAAUAUCAGACAGAGAUCGACGUUUCGUGGCUAUUCAAUGUUCGAAACACCAUUCCGUUAUGAAAAUUCUUUAAUAAAUCAUCGAUAUCGAGUAAAUGCCUGAGAUAUGCAGCCGACGAGGGAGAAUGAAAACUCUACCACGGCUACGUUAUUAAUAUCGAUUCGUGCGGACCUACAUACAGAAUUAUUAUUGACGCGCGUUGCAGGCUUAGGGAUGCGGAAAGAUGAUAAGCGGCCCCGAGUCUUUUAACGCCCGGUUGGCACACCCCGCAAGAAAAAAGUAGAGCGAUAUUUUCUAUUUUGGCACUAAUUUCUUCUCGGUACGACGGAACCAGUGAACCGGUUAUCGUAUUGAAAAGUCCUACCUAUAAGUCACGGGUCAACGGAGAUAUUGUCUGCCUACCUAUGGGAAUAUAUCGCGCUCGCAAGACGAUCAAUUUGAAAUUUACAGUCGCACCGCAGUUUGUGCUAACGUGACAAAUAAUUAGGGUAGAGUUGAAGUAGCUAUACGUGUGGAAAUUCAGGAUUCAGGAGGUAAACGAUUAGAAAACAUCGCGAAUUUCAUAUUUUCACGAUAAAAUUAACACAGGAAACUCUGCGGUUGGUGUACAGGGGGAGGCUAGCUUCACGCCUCGAUGAAUAGUUUGUACAGCUGCAGGAGAAAUUUAGGAGAGUUCCGGAAGAGCGUGUAAAAUGAAAAAGCGGAUCAUUUUGUGAAAAUAUACAGUAGGAACGAUUGUAACCGAGAUUGAAACCGUUCAACGGUGGCUCACAUGAUGUACGCAUUUUUAUACGAUACACGUCGCUGCUGCGCGCACUGCGAGGUUCAAGUCCGAGUUCGAGCCUGUACAUUUCUGAUGUAUGCCUAGGCGGGAAAAAAAAAAAAACAUAACGACUGAACAUAUAUGCACAUAUUUCUUAUCACCGAUCGUGAGCGUAAGAUGCCUACCGCAGGUAGCAACAGCCUUGGAAAUCAGUUUUCUUGUUCGCGAGCUGAUGAUCACGUAAUAUGAGAUUAAAUUUUGUUAACUAGGCCGGGCAAACGGGCUGGAAAAUUGAUUAUCUUAACGAAGUUAUCCAAUGGUACGGAGUAUUAUGAACGUGGAUUAUACAACGUGGAUCGGCAUUAAGGAUAAUUUUGUUUGGUAAAAUUUCGCGUAGGUAUACCGGGAUCGACUCCUUAGCCUAUGUGUUCCCCGUGCUUUUCAGAGCGUUUAAUGAAGUCUUCAACGGAAUCGAGGAUGUUUCUUCCGUUCGCAGUCCUCGUAGUUCAUCGUUUCGCCUUAAUUUUGCAUUAAAGAUAAUGAAUUCGAGCAUAAUUUUUGCAUGAUAUUUGAAUACCCAGCGAAAAAGUUCGCAAAUAGUGCGGAACGCACAGUGCAGAGCGAAUGAAGAGAAUAUCAAACGGCUAGAGAUUACGAUGGAGUGUCGGGACGAGCUUCGCAGGGAAAUCCCGAGGCGUCACCGGAGAAAAUAACAAGAGCUAUAGGUCUGCACGCGGAAGCGAAAGAGACAAGACAUAGACGUGUACGAGACGCGGCUGCAGCCGAGCAAAAAAAUAAUUCAAUUUUCAUUCCCCGGCAUCCACAGCGUACAGAGGGGACUUUCUAAGAAAAUCGAGUGAUGUGCGGAGAGAAGGACCGUGAAGAAGAUACGUCCGAGGUAACAUCUCUCGAUGAACGAGCGUCGACCGGUUUCGCAUCCCACGCCGAAACGGGUCCGAACUGAAGACUCAAGUGGACCCUCACCUCGAAAAGGUCAAAGGUGUCCUUCAAGCUUCAUUCGGUUACCUGCAAUACAUACGAAUGACGAUUACAUCGGAAGCACUUUUGUUCGAAGGGACGAUGGCGAAACUCGCGAAAAAUAAAGUCAAAGUUCGCCGACGAAAGGUGAAAUUUCUGGAUAUAGACUGGAUUAGUUCAUAGCGCCGAGGAGGGUCGACUCCAUUCUCUGGGAGAAAGGUGGAAGAUUUUUAAAGGAAGUUGGCAAAACAGCCGGUAAUGGACACGGUCGAUAUAUAUACGCCAAACAAAUCGCGGAGUGCAUCCUGCUCGUGUCCAUCCGUCUACUACUCGACGCGAGCCGAGCGACGGUUUACCAGGAGUGAAAUAUCCACGUGUCGCGAGUUCCUUGUCUCCUCAUUUCAAUACAACUGCCACCAGGGGUAGAAUUUAUCAGCGUUACGGGGUACGGAGGGGUCGGGAAGAG